UUUUCUAUUCAUUCUCUCAACCAAAAAUUAUACUAAUAAAAUUUCUGUGAUUUAUUCAUCGUCCAUGUUUUUAGUAACAUACUUCUGUGUUAUUUUCUAAAUUAGAUUACAUAUGAAAACACACUAUUUAGCUCCAUUUAAUUACAAUCAACUCAUCUUUUUAGGCAAAUGGGAAAAACUAGGAGUCAUAUAGCGAUAGUUAAUGCGUUUUGUAAAUAUAAUUAACUCUUUUGGGAUUGCGAAUAGAUAAGCUAAAACUCUUGGACGAAACAUAAUUUUAAUUAUUUAAAAAAAGACUGACAAAAAAAACAACCUGUCUUCAUGUUCUUGGUCAUCUACAGGAGCAAAAUAGUUUAAGCGGAGGAUCUUGGUUUUUAGUUAAUGAUUGAGUUCACUUAAUUUCAUGUGUCAUCUUUAUCGCUUCUGCAUUUUUUUUUUUUUGAACUACUAUCGGUUCUGCAUUCUAUAUUAUUUUCGUAUGUUAUUAUUAUCAUCUAAUAAGUAAAAGGGGAAUACGCUCAGCGCUCAGACGUCCACGUCGGAUGAAAUAAUCAGCCAAUCCCGUUGCAUCUUUCGUCCACGUCUUUGCUACGUUGGGCUUCAUUACGAUGGGCUUCGUUGUUAUGUUUUAUUUUUGUUAUGUACCUGGCCCAUAAGCCCAUAAGCUUGGCCAAACGGAGAACACCGUAUCGAGCCUCCACGAACCCUAGCCUUAUUUCUCUUACGCAGACCGCAUCGAGCCUCGACGAACCUCGACGAACCCUAACUUCAUUCUCCCUUGCGCAGACAAAUAUCUCAUCCCUUUCGUCUUUCCCACUUCUUCCGUUUAACGGUUUCGUCUGUUCAUUCACUCCUUCAUCAAAUCCUCAUUAACCUCCAUUAAUGGAUCCCUUUCGCAUCCCUCACUCUGAUUUCUUUUAUAACCCCAAUCAUCCCACCAGUUUGAUUCCCCGCAAAACUAUCUUCUCUCCCGAUGAAUUCCAACAGCAAAAACUCCGCAUCCGGCGAUCUUAUCUCCAAGAAACCUAACGGGAAGGACGUUGUCUCCUCCGCCGCACCGGUCAAACCCUCCGCCGCAUCGAUGAAACCCUCCGCCGCGGCGAUGAAAAUCUCCGCCGCACCGACGAUCCCCUUCGCCGCAUCGAUGAAACCUAUUGGCCAAUCCGGUGUCUCCGGUGAUUCCUCUUCGACAAAACGUCACGGCAAGGCCGUUGUCUGCUCCGAUGUCCCCUCUGACAACAGCGAUCGCGUCGUGUUCUUCAAAGAUGUGACGUUUGGACCACAAGAACACGAGUUGAGAUUUCGACUGAUCCAUUUUUGGGAGGCAAAACACGCAUUCUCGAAGAUACUUAUGGGUCUAGAGAUGCUUCUGGUCGACGCAGAGGGCACUGUGAUUCAGGGAUUCAUCCCACCAUCAAGGAUGGACACUUAUCUACGACACAUGAAGCCCGGUUCCACCUACAGACUUACCAAUUUUUUUGGUUCUAAGACCAAGAAGGUGUACCGGGUUGCUGAUCCAGACGUGACCAUUGCGUUCUCAUGGAAGUCUGUCCUCUCCGAUCUCACAGACACUUCGGCUUGGUUUCCUGAAGACCGUUUUCGUUUCCAUGGUUAUGAACAGUUCGAAGCGGCCUGUGACCUCAAAGGGGAUCUGUAUGAUUUUAUUGGUCAUAUCAAAUUGGUGAAUGAGCAGGCUCUUAACGAGAGUUUUGUGCUUGAUGAAGUCGAGAUAGCUUCUGAUCGGCGAAUUUUGGUUCAUGUUCAGACACAUGAUGGUCCUGUGAUGAAGCUCUACAUAUGGGACAAGGUAGCAACAGCCUUUUGCGAGAAGUUUAGAUCGCUUGGAAAACCUCCGAGUGUUAUCAUGGUGACAACUGUGAAUCCUAAGCGUUUAGGAGGUGCUUUGUCUCUGUCAUCUCUAUCAUCUUCACGGGUUUUUUUUGAUACGGAUGUUCAUCAAACCAGGGAGUAUCUGGCUUGGUAUGUAUUCAUCUAUAUAUUUGCACCGUUUACGUUAAUCUACCGACUGUGUUGCUUAUUUUGUUUUUUGAACAUUUCUAGGCUUGAAUCAAACUCGGAAGUUGCUAAUAGAGUUAAUGCUGAGAUUGUCACCAAGGCUGAGACAGCUACAAUCGGUGAGCUACUCACUUACAUGAAGCAGGAAGGAGCGAAGGUUGCUUGGUUCGAGUGUACGGCCACCAUUGAUGAUGUUGUGCGUGGCUCAGCUUGGUACUACAUUGCUUGUGGUGGAUGCAAGACUAAAGCUACUAAAGGACCUACCACGCUUAUGUGUAGGAAGUGUGGAAAGACUGAGAUUACUGGUGCUGCAGAGUAUCUCAGCAAGCUAUCUGUCUAUGACAACAAUGAUCAUGCGAGCUUUGUACUUCUCGGUGACGCUGGGUUUGAGUUAACUGGGAAGAAAGCAUCUGUAUUGGUUGAGAGUUACUAUGAGGUAUGGGAAGGUGUUCAAGACGAACAUAAUAGGGACACCAAUCAUAAUAUCAACCGAUGCAGAAGUUAACAAAGUGGUGCUCCAAAACCAUGGGAACACAUUUGUCCCUGCAUACCCUAAAUCAAUCACUGAACUACUUGGAGAAAACUCUAUUCUCAGCAUCAAUGGAGCUCAUCAAAAGAGGCUACACACUCUCAUUAGCGCGUUCCUUAGAUCCCCUCACCUCAAGGAGAGGAUCACUCGAGACAUUGAGGCCUCGGUUGCUCUCACUUUAGCUUCUUGGUCUCAACUUCCCUUGGUUCAUGUCCAAGAUGAGAUCAAAAAGAUGACGUUUGAGAUACUAGUAAAACUGCUGAUGAGCAUAUCUCCUGGUGAAGAUUUGAAUAUUCUUAAACUAGAGUUCCAAGAAUUCAUCAAGGGUUUGAUUUGUAUCCCCAUCAAAUUCCCUGGCACUAGACUUCAUAA